rnacentral:rRNA from 1 species
CGCAUCUGUGCAUGCAGCAUAUCAAUAAGCGGAGGAAAAGAAACUAACAAGGAUUCCCCUAGUAACGGCGAGUGAAGCGGGAAGAGCUCAAAUUUGAAAUCUUAAAGGGUUUCCCUUUACGAAUUGUAGUUUAAAGAAGUGUUUUCUGUUGAGGUUUUGGUAAAAGUUCUUUGGAAUAGGACAUCAUAGAGGGUGAGAAUCCCGUAUUUGACCUUUACUUUCAACUUUGUGAUACACUUUCAAAGAGUCGGAUUGUUUGGGAAUGCAGUCCAAAAUGGGUGGUAAAUUUCAUCUAAAGCUAAAUAUUGGCGAGAGACCGAUAGCGAACAAGUACCGUGAGGGAAAGAUGAAAAGAACUUUGAAAAGAGAGUUAAACAGUACGUGAAAUUGUCAAAAGGGAAGCGUUUGACACCAGUGGCUGUUUUUCUGAAAAUCAAUUAAAGAACUGUUUAUGCUAAGUUGUUUAGACUUUAUCAGCUAACUGUUUAGUUUUGAGCUUUUCUUUAAUGCACUUUUCAGUUAACAAGUCAACAUCAAUUUCUUUUGCUGUAAAAAAGCUUGAGGAAGGUGGCUUGAGAUUCGUCUUAAGUGUUUAUAGCCUCUUGCCUAUGCAGUCGGAGAGAUUGAGGUCUGCAGCGUAGAUCCUUCGGGGCUAAAUGCAUUUGUGCUAAGUUAUAGCAUUUUAUAGACAACUUGUUGACUAUGAUUUGUCUUGUAGCUUACUCGCUUAUGUUAUUUUACCUACGCUUAGGAUGUUGAGUCAUCACACAUCUCU